AUACUGUAUAAUCCCUGCGGGGGAAAGAUUUAUCGCUACUAGAUGAGCCUAUGUCAGAUUAGCUAGUUGGUGGGGUAAUGGCCCACCAAGGCUGUGAUCUGUAGCUGGUCUGAGAGGAUGAUCAGCCACACUGGAACUGAGACACGGUCCAGACUCCUACGGGAGGCAGCAGUGGGGAAUAUUGGACAAUGGGCGCAAGCCUGAUCCAGCUAUGCCGCGUGAGUGAGGAAGGCCUUAGGGUUGUAAAACUCUUUCAGUAGGGAAGAUAAUGACGGUACCUACAGAAGAAGUCCCGGCAAACUCCGUGCCAGCAGCCGCGGUAAUACGGAGGGGGCAAGCGUUGUUCGGAAUUAUUGGGCGUAAAGGGCAUGUAGGCGGUUUGGUAAGUUA
rnacentral:rRNA from 1 species